GGUGCUAACACAUGCAAGUCGCACGAGAAAGGGGAGCAUCCCUGAGUACAGUGGCGCACGGGCGAGUAACACGUGAAUGAUCUACCUCCGAGUGGGGAAUAACUGAGAGAAAUCUUGGCUAAUACCGCAUAAUCCCCACGGGUCAAAGCAGCAAUGCGCUUGGAGAGGAGUUCGCGGCCGAUUAGCUAGUUGGCGGGGUAAUGGCCCACCAAGGCGAUGAUCGGUAUCCGGCCUGAGAGGGCGCACGGACACACUGGAACUGAAACACGGUCCGGACUCCUACGGGAGACAGCAGUGGGGAAUUUUGCGCAAUGGGGGAAACCCUGACGCAGCAACGCCGCGUGGAGGAUGAAGCCCCUUGGGGUGUAAACCUCCUUUCGAUCGGGAAGAUAAUGACGGUACCGAUAUAAGAAGCCCCGGCUAACUUCGUGCCAGCAGCCGCGGUAAUACGAGGGGGGCAAGCGUUGUUCGGAAUUAUUGGGCGUAAAGGGUGCGUAGGCGGUUUGACAAGUCUGAUGUGAAAUCUAUGGGCUCAAGCCAUAGUCUGCGUCGGAAACUGUCGGGCUUGAGUAUGGGAGAGGUGAGUGGAAUUUCCCGGUGUAGCGGUGAAAUUGCGUAGAUAUCGGAAGGAACACCUGUGGGCGAAAGCGGGUCACUGGGACCAUUACUGACGCUGAGGCACGAAAGGCUAGGGGAGCAAACAGGGAUUACGAUACCCUGGUAGUCCUAGCCCUAAAACGAUGAUCGUCGAUGUGGCAGGUACCCAAUUCUGGCGGUGUCGAAAGGCUAACGGCGAUUAACCAUUCCGCUGUGGAGUACGGCGCAAGGUGAACUCCAAG
rnacentral:rRNA from 1 species